rnacentral:lncRNA from 1 species
UACAAAAAAGCGUCACAUGCUUGGACGCAAAAAAGACUAAGAAAAACCUAAAAACUAAAAAGCCUCACACCUGAGGCGGAGGAGGAGCAGAAGUCUCGGGCAGCUCUGGAACCUUGGCAGCAGAUCCCUCCGGAGCUUUGGCACCAGCAUCACGAGCCUCCGCUUCAGCCUGGGUCGGAGGAUGCGCCUCGCUUGGUGGACGCGAAGGACCGGCCUUGUCAACCUUAGCCUUCUUCUUCGCAAUCUCCUACAAAAUACCCAUCUUAAGUAACAUUGCAAAGCAGCAAAACAAAAUACAAAAAGAAAAAACCAAAUCAAAAAUACCUCAGCGCGACGAGCCUCCGCCAUCUUCUUCGCCUCAGCCCGCCCAAACCUAAUCCAGAACGAACUGAUGAAGUUCCGGACAGA